UUCUCCCCUAAACAGGAUGUUACUUGUGUUUAAGUAAAGUGUGUGCAUUUAAAAGGUAAUAGAUGUGGUAUCCUUAAGAUACCAGGCAGGGAGUGUGUUGGUCUUAAUGAUCAUUCAUUCAUUUUGUGUUUCUUUAGUUAUUUGCAGUGCGUUGACGCCAUCUACUGAACACUUGUGGUAACGGCAGGUUUGGUGUACAGUUUCUAUUUCCUGUUGUAUUCUCGUUUGUAUUCUCGUUUGGAACGAGAUUAGUGUUCGGUUAGUUCACGACUUUUCCAGAGCGAGUUGUUCUCUGUGAUGUGUAAAUUCUGCUGUCAAGUUUCUUCAAACUCCGCUCAGUUGUGUUUCCCUCGGGGGCAAUGCCGUUUUACAGCUUGUUUUUGCACUGCUGUGUGUAAAAUAAAGGAGAGGAGAAAAA